rnacentral:rRNA from 1 species
CGCGUGCGGGAAGAAGGCUUCGGGUUGUAAACCGCUUUCACAGGGAAGAAGGAAUGAGGGCUAAUAUCCCUCUGCCUUGACGGUACCUGUAGAAGAAGCACCGGCUAAUUUCGUGCCAGCAGCCGCGGUAAUACGAAAGGUGCAAGCGUUGUUCGGAUUUACUGGGCGUAAAGAGAUCGUAGGUGGCUUGUUAAGUCGGAUGUGAAAUCCCGGGGCUCAACCCCGGAACUGCAUCCGAUACUGGCAGGCUUGAGUUCGGGAGGGGUAAGCGGAAUUCCGUGUGUAGCAGUGAAAUGCGUAGAUAUACGGAGGAACACCUGAGGCGAAGGCGGCUUACUGGACCGAUACUGACACUGAGGAUCGAAAGCGUGGGUAGCAAACAGGAUUAGAUACCCUGGUAGUCCACGCCCUAACGAUGUCAACUACCGUUGCGGGUAUCGACCC